CUGUGAGCUCGAUGAGUAGGGCGGGACACGUGGUAUCCUGUCUGAAUAUGGGGGGACCAUCCUCCAAGGCUAAAUACUCCUGACUGACCGAUAGUGAACCAGUACCGUGAGGGAAAGGCGAAAAGAACCCCGGCGAGGGGAGUGAAAAAGAACCUGAAACCGUGUACGUACAAGCAGUGGGAGCACGCUUCGGCGUGUGACUGCGUACCUUUUGUAUAAUGGGUCAGCGACUUAUAUUCUGUAGCAAGGUUAACCGAAUAGGGGAGCCGAAGGGAAACCGAGUCUUAACUGGGCGUUAAGUUGCAGGGUAUAGACCCGAAACCCGGUGAUCUAGCCAUGGGCAGGUUGAAGGUUGGGUAACACUAACUGGAGGACCGAACCGACUAAUGUUGAAAAAUUAGCGGAUGACUUGUGGCUGGGGGUGAAAGGCCAAUCAAACCGGGAGAUAGCUGGUUCUCCCCGAAAGCUAUUUAGGUAGCGCCUCGUGAAUUCAUCUCCGGGGGUAGAGCACUGUUUCGGCAAGGGGGUCAUCCCGACUUACCAACCCGAUGCAAACUGCGAAUACCGGAGAAUGUUAUCACGGGAGACACACGGCGGGUGCUAACGUCCGUCGUGAAGAGGGAAACAACCCAGACCGCCAGCUAAGGUCCCAAAGUCAUGGUUAAGUGGGAAACGAUGUGGGAAGGCCCAGACAGCCAGGAUGUUGGCUUAGAAGCAGCCAUCAUUUAAAGAAAGCGUAAUAGCUCACUGGUCGAGUCGGCCUGCGCGGAAGAUGUAACGGGGCUAAACCAUGCACCGAAGCUGCGGCAGCGACACUAUGUGUUGUUGGGUAGGGGAGCGUUCUGUAAGCCUGUGAAGGUGUACUGUGAGGUAUGCUGGAGGUAUCAGAAGUGCGAAUGCUGACAUAAGUAACGAUAAAGCGGGUGAAAAGCCCGCUCGCCGGAAGACCAAGGGUUCCUGUCCAACGUUAAUCGGGGCAGGGUGAGUCGACCCCUAAGGCGAGGCCGAAAGGCGUAGUCGAUGGGAAACAGGUUAAUAUUCCUGUACUUGGUGUUACUGCGAAGGGGGGACGGAGAAGGCUAUGUUGGCCGGGCGACGGUUGUCCCGGUUUAAGCGUGUAGGCUGGUUUUCCAGGCAAAUCCGGAAAAUCAAGGCUGAGGCGUGAUGACGAGGCACUACGGUGCUGAAGCAACAAAUGCCCUGCUUCCAGGAAAAGCCUCUAAGCAUCAGGUAACAUCAAAUCGUACCCCAAACCGACACAGGUGGUCAGGUAGAGAAUACCAAGGCGCUUGAGAGAACUCGGGUGAAGGAACUAGGCAAAAUGGUGCCGUAACUUCGGGAGAAGGCACGCUGAUAUGUAGGUGAAGCGACUUGCUCGUGGAGCUGAAAUCAGUCGAAGAUACCAGCUGGCUGCAACUGUUUAUUAAAAACACAGCACUGUGCAAACACGAAAGUGGACGUAUACGGUGUGACGCCUGCCCGGUGCCGGAAGGUUAAUUGAUGGGGUUAGCGCAAGCGAAGCUCUUGAUCGAAGCCCCGGUAAACGGCGGCCGUAACUAUAACGGUCCUAAGGUAGCGAAAUUCCUUGUCGGGUAAGUUCCGACCU
rnacentral:rRNA from 1 species